rnacentral:rRNA from 1 species
CGUGAGGAACCUACCUUCAAGUGGGGAAUAACUCGCAGAAAUGCGAGCUAAUACCGCAUGUGGUUGCGAAGUGGCAUCACUUUGCACCUAAAGAUUUAUCGCUUGGAGACGGCCUCGCGCCUAUUAGCUAGUUGGUGGGGUAACGGCCUACCAAGGCGAUGAUGGGUAGCUGGUCUGAGAGGACGAUCAGCCACACUGGGACUGAGACACGGCCCAG